rnacentral:rRNA from 1 species
UACAGAGGUCUCAAGCGUUGUUCGGAUUCAUUGGGCGUAAAGGGUGCGUAGGCGGCGCGGUAAGUCGGGUGUGAAAUCUCGGAGCUUAACUCCGAAACUGCAUUCGAUACUGCCGUGCUUGAGGACUGGAGAGGAGACUGGAAUUUACGGUGUAGCGGUGAAAUGCGUAGAUAUCGUAAGGAAGACCAGUGGCGAAGGCGGGUUGCUGGGCCGACACUGACGCUGAUGCGCGAAAGCCAGGGGAGCGAACGGG